rnacentral:rRNA from 1 species
UCGGAACGUGCCCAGUAGCGGGGGAUAACUACUCGAAAGAGUAGCUAAUACCGCAUACGCCCUACGGGGGAAAGGGGGGGAUCGCAAGACCUCUCACUAUUGGAGCGGCCGAUAUCGGAUUAGCUAGUUGGUGAGGUAAAGGCUCACCAAGGCGACGAUCCGUAGCUGNNNNNAGAGGACGACCAGCCACACUGGGACUGAGACACGGCCCAGACUCCUACGGGAGGCAGCAGUGGGGAAUUUUGGACAAUGGGGGAAACCCUGAUCCAGCCAUUCCGCGUGUGCGAUGAAGGCCUUCGGGUUGUAAAGCACUUUUGGCAGGAAAGAAAUCGCAUCAAUUAAUACUUGGUGUGGAUGACGGUNNCUGCAGAAUANNCACCGGCUAACUACGUGCCAGCAGCCGCGGUAAUACGUAGGGUGCAAGCGUUAAUCGGAAUUACUGGGCGUAAAGCGUGCGCAGGCGGUUCGGAAAGAGAGGUGUGAAAUCCCAGGGCUCAACCUUGGAACUGCACUUUUAACUACCGAGCUAGAGUAUGUCAGAAGGGGGUGGAAUUCCGCGUGUAGCAGUGAAAUGCGUAGAUAUGCGGAGGAACACCGAUGGCGAAGGCAGCCCCCUGGGAUAAUACUGACGCUCAUGCACGAAAGCGUGGGGAGCAAACAGGAUUAGAUACCCUAGUAGUCCACGCCCUANACGACGUCAANNNNCUGUUGGGGCCUUCGGGCCUUAGUAGCGCAGCUAACGCGUG